AACAGGAUAAAGUGUCCAAACACAGAGAAAAACUCCUCCAGAAUCGACUGAUCUCCACACUGUUAUAAAGAUGGCGUUUAUUAAAGAGGAGAGUGAAGAUGUGAAGAUUGAAGAAACAUUCACAGUCAAACAGGAAGAUCCACAGGAACAAACAGUUCCUUUCUCGUCCUAUUCUUCAUCCUGGUUGAGGACUUUUGCUGUCCUUAUCCGCUUGGACGGGUUAGCUAAUUCCUCCUCCAUCUCUUCAGGGGUUUCUGGAAGAAGACGGUUGGUGACAGUUGACUGACAAGCAUUCGAAUCGGCAACGUGAAGCGAUUCAGUUCUCAAUGAUUCAAAUCUUUUUUCUGAAUGAUUAAUUUUACCAUUUAUAAUGCAAAUCACACUGUUAUGCCACUAGGUGGACAAAAACAAGCGUCUUUUUAAGUGUGAUAGACUAUCUGUAUGAACCUGUAAAGCCGAUUUAUUAAAACACAACUAUU
ensembl:processed_transcript